AUGCUGGUGUUGGCAGCACAUAUAGUAAAAAUUUAACAAUAUAGAGAAGAUUAGCAUGGCCCGUGCAUAAGGAUAACAUGCAACUCCUGAACCAUUCCAUUUUGAA
ensembl:snRNA U6 U6 spliceosomal RNA